UUCUGUUUAAGUUGCUAUGGUAGGAUCGGGUCCGCAGGCAGGAUCGAGUCCUCUGAAGCCUGGGUCAGAACAGCACACAGCUGGGGAAGUUGGUUUUGAGGUAACUGGAGGACAAUCCUGU